GGGUUCGAUCAUACCAUCACUAAUGCACCGGAUCCCAUCAAAACUAGUAGUUAAGUGUGCUUUGGCGAGAAUAGUACUAGGAUGGGUGACCUCCUGGGAAGUCUCGUGUUACACCCC
rnacentral:rRNA from 1 species